ACCUAAUAGAUACCCGGGUAGUCCACGCCCUAAACGAUGCGAACUGGAUGUUGGGUACAUUACGGUACUCAGUGUCGAAAGCUAAACGCGUUAAGUUCGCCGCCUGGGGAGUACGGUCGCAAGACUGAAACUCAAAGGAAUUGACGGGGGCCCGGCACAAGCGGUGGAGUAUGUGGUUUAAUUCGAUGCAACGCGAAGAACCUUACCUGGCCUUGACAUCUGUCGAAUCCUGCAGAGAUGCGGGAGUGCCGCAAGGAACGACAAGACAGGUGCUGCAUGGCUGUCGUCAGCUCGUGUCGUGAGAUGUUGGGUUAAGUCCCGCAACGAGCGCAACCCUUGUCCCUAGUUGCCAGCACAUCAUGGUGGGAACUCUAGGGAGACUGCCGGUGACAAACCGGAGGAAGGU
rnacentral:rRNA from 1 species